AGAUAAUCAAUCAAAGAUCUCAGCGAUCAAUGAUUUAUCACGCAAAUUCUGCACAUCACUGCAAGGUACAAUUAAUGGUGCCCUUCACCAUUUCAAUAACAUAUAUAUGCCUAUACACACACACACACACACACACACCCCUUGUAAUGGUGCCUGUUCCCCAGGUCAGUGAUGCAGCCCUUUCCUCAGUCAAGUUGCUCAUUUGACAACCGGAUAAGCAACUGUGAUUUGAGAGUCGAGCGUACACCAUUUCCAACAAGUAGGUCAUCCGGUUCCUAAGUCCCUCAAAUUGCUUGAUAAAUAGAAUUGUUGACUUACUUCAGUCGGAGGCUUUAAAAUUAUAUCAAUGCAACUGCAUUAAGAUGCUUCCCAGACCUUGUAAUCUUUUCCCUCAGACCAGCUUUGAGACACUCUUGGGGGUUCGUAAUGACCUGGUCCCAUUUUCACCGCCACUUUCUCAUCAAUUAUGGCUGCAUAUACAUCCCUUUCUGCCUUCGUAAUUUUGACUGUACUCCGGCAGUGGACUUUAUUCCGGUUUCUGAUAGAGAUUAAAGACGCAAUUUCAGACUGAUAAUGAGAGAAGAUGUGGUCAUAGAAAACAGCUGGUGUUCCUGGAUGAGUCAAGAUGUAAGCGUAUCCUUGCAUUUCCUUUCCAUUAGGAAAUCUCCAAUGACCCUGGGUAGAACCAGUAUCAUGAUUCUCUAUGAAGGUAACAGCACGAGAUGGCCACCAGCCCACAACUCCAGGAGGCUUUCCUUUCUUAUCUGAUAACCGCCAAUACUCGCACCUUUCCAGUGCUGAAUGAAGAAUCCCCUUUGUGGUGACAUCGAAUGCGCCAGCAGUUCCAUUUGUAGCAUUGAUCCAGUCAAUAAUUCUCUGCCGAUGUGCAUCUUGAUUGUGAUCCAUUUCACCAUAUGUGUAACUGAGGGAAUCCCAGUACUCGCCAACAGCAAAAUAAGGUUCUGUUGCAUCUAUGUAGUCCUUGACGUAACCACCCCAAAAUCCUCUGGCAAAAUCAAGCCUCCAUCCAUCAUAUCCA
rnacentral:misc_RNA from 1 species